AGCAACCUGCCCUGGACUCUGGGAUAAGCGCUGGAAACGGCGUCUAAUACUGGAUAUGAGCUCCUUCCGCAUGGUGGGGGUUGGAAAGAUUUUUCGGUCUGGGAUGGGCUCGCGGCCUAUCAGCUUGUUGGUGAGGUAAUGGCUCACCAAGGCGUCGACGGGUAGCCGGCCUGAGAGGGUGACCGGCCACACUGGGACUGAGACACGGCCCAGACUCCUACGGGAGGCAGCAGUGGGGAAUAUUGCACAAUGGGCGGAAGCCUGAUGCAGCAACGCCGCGUGAGGGAUGACGGCCUUCGGGUUGUAAACCUCUUUUAGCAGGGAAGAAGCGAAAGUGACGGUACCUGCAGAAAAAGCGCCGGCUAACUACGUGCCAGCAGCCGCGGUAAUACGUAGGGCGCAAGCGUUAUCCGGAAUUAUUGGGCGUAAAGAGCUCGUAGGCGGUUUGUCGCGUCUGCUGUGAAAUCCCGAGGCUCAACCUCGGGCCUGCAGUGGGUACGGGCAGACUAGAGUGCGGUAGGGGAGAUUGGAAUUCCUGGUGUAGCGGUGGAAUGCGCAGAUAUCAGGAGGAACACCGAUGGCGAAGGCAGAUCUCUGGGCCGUAACUGACGCUGAGGAGCGAAAGGGUGGGGAGCAAACA
rnacentral:rRNA from 1 species